rnacentral:tRNA from 1 species
GAGGGCGUAGCUCAGGGGCAGGGCGUGGGCUUGGCAUGCGCGAGGGCCUGGGUUCAAUCCCCAGUCCCUCCA